rnacentral:tRNA from 1 species
GGCUGGGUGGCUCAGUUGGUUGAGCAUCUGACUUCAGCUCAGACGUGAGUUCGAGCCCCAAGCUG